rnacentral:lncRNA from 1 species
CAACAAAUCACAUCUGAAGCAGGUUUCCCCACUCCUACCCCUACCUUGCGGAAGUUUAAGCAGCAUAACCAGCUUCAGUGAAGGAACCAGAUUUUUAUUUUUUUUUUAUUGUUAAUGUCAAACAAACAUUUAUUUCAGGUGCAAAGCCUCAGGAUAUGUUAGUGAAAACAGUGGCACUGCUGUUCUAUUGCUUACUGCCCACUAAGUGGGUGGGAAAAGGGUACCGUGACCCUUUUACCCUUCCCACCAGUCUCCCUAACAGCUUUGGCCUUCGGGUCAGCUCAAUUUCCCCUCCACUGAGUGGCCAUUACUGAGCGAGGCCGUGAUAAAUGCUCUCCGUGCGGGCCUGCAUUGCCGGCAGCCAGGGCUGGGGAAGGAGGAGGCCUGGACCAGGCGGAUGGAGCCAGGAGACGGAUGGAGCGAGAUGCCUGCGCGCCGGGCGCCUGUUACCUAGCAACCCGCCGAGAUCACCCAAAAUGAAUAGACCCACAAACAAAAAUGAAAAGGAGAUAAAAAAGAGUAAAAGUCUAUGGGGCUCAAAGGAGAUGACUACAGUUGGGAUGGUUGCUAUUAUUCAACAUAUUCCAAUCAACACCUUCCACUGGAGAUGCAGAAUUGUGGGUUUGCAGCAUUGCCGCAGGGGAAUGGAGCUCCAGGCACUCCAGAACAACUGCUUGAAAUCCUUGCACCCCUGGAACAGGGAUCAGGAGACAUAACGAGGUUUUCCUUCAUUUAGGAAAAAAAUUAGUUUGCCAUAUCAUAAAAGCCAUUAUUUUAAAUGACACUGCUAAUACCUUAUUACUAUCUUCAGAAGGGGCACUCAGAUACUUUAUUUGAGCUGUUUCCCUAUUUCUCUCUCGUCAGUGAUACAAGCAGUAAUGAAAGGGCUAGAGCUAAUUAAAAGACAAUAAUUUCAUGAAGGGGUGGUGAUGAUGAUGAGGCAAUAGACUGUGAGAACAAAGCUUGAGGGGUUUUAAUGACUCAUCAACCCCUUGAUGGGAGUGUAGCCUUAC